UUCUUGACGUGCCCAGCAUGACAGGCUCCCUGCAUAUAUGUGCGGCCAACUGUCAUGGGGUUGUCUCUUCGUUCUCCCUAUUGUGUUUCCUUUUGUUAGGGAGGGAUGCUUCUUAUUGGUUGCCUGUGGCGAUCUACCGUUGUGGUAGUACCACUGUCCCUUUUCGGGUGUUAGCUUGUUGUACUGCUAUUUGCAGGUUGGCUUUGGUGUUGACGAAUUCCAUGUGUUUCUGUGGUUGUGUGACUCGGUACUGUUGUGUGGUUUGUUUGUCGGAUCUCAUUGAUGUUGUGCCCGUUGUGACCUCUGUGGGCUUCACGUUUGCAGAUCUUGAGAGGUCUACACACUUGAGAGGCCCUCGCCUCUGCUUUGUGUAAAGCCUCUGUGAUUGGAGGAUGCCUUGCGAUUGCUGGCUUUAGUUGUUGUAUGAACCUUCCUAUUUGGGUUGGUGCUUCGGAUGACUUUGCGGCUCUCGUUUAAGAUGUGCUACCUGGUUGAUCCUGCC
rnacentral:misc_RNA from 1 species